rfam:Glycine soja cultivar W05 scaffold874_6, whole genome shotgun sequence.
AUGUUAACGAAGUGACUCUAACAUCGGUUUUCAAGAAAAUCGAUGUUAUAGUCGAUUCGUUAACAU